UACAUAGGCUCCAAGCGUUGUUCGGAAUUACUGGGCGUAAAGCGAGUGUAGGCUGGCCGCCAAGUCGAUUGUGAAAUCUCCCGGCUCAACUGGGAGGGUGCGGUCGAAACUGGCGGACUAGAGUUCGGGAGAGGAGAGUGGAAUUCCUGGUGUAGCGGUGAAAUGCGUAGAUAUCAGGAGGAACACCGGCGGUGAAGACGGCUCUCUGGCCCGAUACUGACGCUGAGACUCGAAAGCGUGGGGAGCAAACAGG
rnacentral:rRNA from 1 species